rnacentral:tRNA from 1 species
CAUUGAGAAGCUGUGACGUAGCGACAGCCUUUUAAGCUGUAGGCAGGUGAUUUAACCCACCCUUAAUGA